rnacentral:rRNA from 1 species
UACGAAGGUCCCGAGCGUUGUUCGGAUUUACUGGGCGUAAAGCGUCUGUAGGCGGCAUGGUAAGUCAGGUGUGAAAUCCCGGGGCUCAACCCCGGAACUGCAUCCGAUACUGCCGUGCUAGAGUAUUGGAGGGGAGUCUGGAAUUCUCGGUGUAGCAGUGAAAUGCGUAGAUAUCGAGAGGAACACUAGUGGCGAAGGCGAGACUCUGGACAAUAACUGACGCUGAGAGACGAAGGCCAGGGUAGCGAAAAGG